rnacentral:rRNA from 1 species
UACGAAGGGUGCUAGCGUUGCUCGGAAUUACUGGGCGUAAAGGGAGCGUAGGCGGACAUUUAAGUCAGAGGUGAAAUCCCGGAGCUUAACUUCGGAACUGCCUUUGAUACUGGAUGUCUUGAGUGUGAGAGAGGUAUGUGGAACUCCGAGUGUAGAGGUGAAAUUCGUAGAUAUUCGGAAGAACACCAGUGGCGAAGGCGACAUACUGGCUCAUUACUGACGCUGAGGCUCGAAAGCGUGGGGAGCGAACAGG